rnacentral:rRNA from 1 species
GGANGAAAAGGCCUUCUCUAAUAAAGAGGGUUCCUGACGGUACCACAAGAAUAAGCACCGGCUAACUACGUGCCAGCAGCCGCGGUAAUACGUAGGGUGCAAGCGUUAAUCGGAAUUACUGGGCGUAAAGGGUGCGCAGGCGGUCNUGCAAGUCAGAUGUGAAAGCCCCGGGCUUAACCUGGGAAUUGCGUUUGAAACUGCAAGGCUAGAGUGCAACAGAGGGGAGUGGAAUUCCAUGUGUAGCAGUGAAAUGCGUAGAGAUGUGGAAGAACACCGAUGGCGAAGGCAGCUCCCUGGGUUGACACUGACGCUCAUGCACGAAAGCGUGGGGAGCAAACAGGAUUAGAUACCCUGGUAGUCCACNCCCUAAACUAUGUCAACUAGUUGUCGGAUCUAAUUAAGGAUUUGGUAACGUAGCUAACGCGU